rnacentral:lncRNA from 1 species
CCAGGCUCAGCAUCCUUCUCUACCUUUUCUGGAUCACAAGCCUUUCUGCAUAACCCCAGUCAAUGGAAGUCCUCUCCGCAAACCAUCUCUAGAUCCUGGUUCAAACUCAACUUAGAUCUAGUUAUGUCCAUGCAUGAAAUUGUACAGAAAAUGGAGUUUCCAUUUCACACUGAGCUCAGGAUCUGACUCAAGUCCCUUCAAAAGUAACAGAAAAUAGUACUCCUUGACAGCAAGAGGCUUUAAAUAUACCCUGAAUUCCUGACCUCUCUGAACAAGUCUACUGAAUAAAGC